rnacentral:rRNA from 1 species
GACGAACGCUGGCGGCGUGCCUAACACAUGCAAGUCGAGCGAAAUACCCCUUCGGGGAUAUUUAGCGGCGGACGGGUGAGUAACACGUGGGUAACCUGCCUUAGUGAGGGGGAUAGCCUUCCGAAAGGAAGAUUAAUACCGCAUAAUAUCAGGGUUUCGCAUGGAACUUUGAUUAAAGGAGUAAUCCGCACUAAGAUGGACCCGCGGCGCAUUAGCUAGUUGGUGAGGUAACGGCUCACCAAGGCGACGAUGCGUAGCCGACCUGAGAGGGUGAUCGGCCACAUUGGAACUGAGAUACGGUCCAGACUCCUACGGGAGGCAGCAGUGGGGAAUAUUGCACAAUGGGCGAAAGCCUGAUGCAGCAACGCCGCGUGAGUGAUGAAGGUCUUCGGAUUGUAAAGCUCUGUCUUUGGGGACGAUAAUGACGGUACCCAAGGAGGAAGCCACGGCUAACUACGUGCCAGCAGCCGCCGUAAAAC